UACGGAAGGCAGCAGGGGGAAUAUUGCACAAUGGGCGCAAGCCUGAUGCAGCCAUGCCGCGUGUAUGAAGAAGGCCUUUCGGGUUGUAAAGUACUUUUCAGUCGUGAGGAAGGUGUUAAGGUUAAUAACCUUAGCAAUUGACGUUAGCGACAGAAGAAGCACCGGCUAACUCCGUGCCAGCAGCCGCGGUAAUACGGAGGGUGCGAGCGUUAAUCGGAAUUACUGGGCGUAAAGGGCACGCAGGCGGUUAAUUAAGUUGGAUGUGAAAUCCCCGGGCUUAACCUGGGAAUGGCAUUCAAGACUGGUUAGCUAGAGUCUUGUAGAGGGGGUAGAAUUCCAUGUGUAGCGGUGAAAUGCGUAGAGAUGUGGAGGAAUACCGGUGGCGAAGGCGGCCCCUGGACAAAGACUGACGCUCAUGUGCGAAAGCGUGGGGAGCAAACAGGGAUUAGAUACCCUCUGAGGAACUACCAAAGGGCACACAGGGGAAU
rnacentral:rRNA from 1 species